rnacentral:rRNA from 1 species
GAUGAACGCUGGCGGCGUGCUUAACACAUGCAAGUCGAACGAUGAAGCCCAGCUUGCUGGGUGGAUUAGUGGCGAACGGGUGUGUAACACGUGAGUAACCUGCCCUUGACUCUGGGAUAAGCCCGGGAAACUGGGUCUAAUACCGGAUAGGAGCGCCUGUCGCAUGACGGGUGUUGGGAAGAUUUUUCGGUCAUGGAUGGACUCGCGGCCUAUCAGCUUGUUGGUGAGGUAAUGGCUCACCAAGGCGACGACGGGUAGCCGGCCUGAGAGGGUGACCGGCCACACUGGGACUGAGACACGGCCCAGACUCCUACGGGAGGCAGCAGUGGGGAAUAUUGCACAAUGGGCGGAAGCCUGAUGCAGCGACGCCGCGUGAGGGAUGACGGCCUUCGGGUUGUAAACCUCUUUCAGUAGGGAAGAAGCGAAAGUGACGGUACCUGCAGAAGAAGCACCGGCUAACUACGUG